CAGUAGCCGCGGUAACACGUAGGUGGCAAGCGUUGUUCGGAAUUAUUGGGCGUAAAGGGCUCGCAGGCGGUUCCUUAAGUCUGACGUGAAAGCCCCCGGCUCAACCGGGGAGGGUCAUUGGAAACUGGGAAACUUGAGUGCAGAAGAGGAGAGUGGAAUUCCACGUGUAGCGGUGAAAUGCGUAGAGAUGUGGAGGAACACCAGUGGCGAAGGCGACUCUCUGGUCUGUAACUGACGCUGAGGAGCGAAAGCGUGGGGAGCGAACAGGAUUAGAUACCCCUGUAGUCCCUGUCUCUUAUAC
rnacentral:rRNA from 1 species